GCCGGGGUCCCAUAGCGGCCAUUGGGGCGGCCUGGAGAGCCGCUGCCCCGUUGAGGGGCGCGCGGGUUCGAGUCCCGCCCCCGGCG
rnacentral:tRNA from 2 species